AAUAGAUACCCAGGUAGUCCACGCCGUAAACGAUGAGUGCUAAGUGUUAGAGGGUUUCCGCCCUUUAGUGCUGCAGCAAACGCAUUAAGCACUCCGCCUGGGGAGUACGGUCGCAAGACUGAAACUCAAAGGAAUUGACGGGGGCCCGCACAAGCGGUGGAGCAUGUGGUUUAAUUCGAAGCAACGCGAAGAACCUUACCAGGUCUUGACAUCCUCUGACAACCCUAGAGAUAGGGCUUCCCCUUCGGGGGCAGAGUGACAGGUGGUGCAUGGUUGUCGUCAGCUCGUGUCGUGAGAUGUUGGGUUAAGUCCCGCAACGAGCGCAACCCUUGAUCUUAGUUGCCAGCAUUCAGUUGGACACUCUAAGGUGACUGCCGGUGACAAACCGGAGGAAGGUGGGGAUGACGUCAAAUCAUCAUGCCCCUUAUGACCUGGGCUACACACGUGCUACAAUGGGCAGAACAAAGGGCAGCGAAGCCGCGAGGCUAAGCCAAUCCCGCAAAUCUGUUCUCAGUUCGGAUCGC
rnacentral:rRNA from 1 species